GCAUACCGCAGAGAGCGGCGAGGACUCGCCAGGAACUCGUACGGAAUUGCUUGCCUAGCAUGCGUAUAACGGACGGCAUCAAGGACCAGGAAACACCUUUUCAAAUUGUUCAUCAAGCAAACGCAUUCGAUCAGAUAUACUCUGAGGACGAUAUUGUUACCGGCCACUCUACGAACAUCAAUUAUAUGUCGGAUGAUGACGCAAUUACUUAUACCCACACGUGUGUGAAUUAGAUGAAUGCGUAGUUUCAAUGUCAUAUAACAUCGAAUACAUAAUCUGUACUUUUGCGUAUUGCCUUCGUAGUAUGUCCGCUUUUUCAGAUAAUAUCACAAUUGCAAAACAGAUAUAUCUUUUCUUAACAAAAUAUUUAAAAGUUAUUUCUUGUAACAAAAGAUGAUAAACAAAUGUAAAAUAAUAUUAGAUGUAAUAAAAAAGAAGUAGCUUAAGAAAUAUUCUCUAAACGUCUCACAAUUUUAUUGAUGUCGCAUUUUAUCAGAUUGUAUCAAUCGUUUUUGUUAUGUGCGAUACGACAGAUAGAAAAACUUACCCUAGUCCCAACAUGAAUACUGAUAAGUAUAUCAAAAAAUUAGUUUGCGCGAAGGCUAGAGUAGUCGAGGCGCAAAACACGAUGCCCAUAGUAACCGAGAUUGAUUUUUUACGACCGACAAGGUCCGAUAUAGAUCCAAACAGGAAAGCACCUAUUGCCAUCCCUAAGCGAUAAAUGCGUAAUAAAUUAAAAUAAUGCAUUGCAUGCAACAAACUAUAUACGCUUACAAUAAAUACGCUUUAAUCUAUCUUUGUGAGAUAUAUAAAUUCUGCAUACAUGCGAGAUAUUAUCUUUUACGAUAUAUUCUGUAAAUAUUUCUCAUUUUGUAUAUUGUAGGUGUAUACGAAUAUAAAAUUUAAUAGAAUAAUUUAUAAUUCAAUUAGUACUUAAUAUUUCAAUGUUCAGUAAGAUAAUAUAUUAAUAUUUUUUGUUAGAAGUAUAUACCGAAACUGGAGGUAGCGACAGGCAUGAUGGCCUGAUCUCUAUUAAGCUUUAGAUCACAUUCUAUUAGCGGUACUACAAUCGGUACAGUCAAAGAAGUGCUCGCUUCUGCAAACGAUACCAAGCCGCAUAAUGCGACGACGAAGUAAUGCCAAACACCCCAUCCUGUAUUAAAUUUAUUAAAUUUAAGAUGCAUAAUCGUAUUUAUAGAUAUUUUCAUAAAUUAAGAACUUUGCUCUUUUAAAAUUAUUUGAAAUUGAUAUAUUAAUUGUCAUAUUGAUGUUUUUGUUAUGAUAUAAUAGUGAUAAUUCUUCUUUCUUAGAAGAAUGUAUAUAAUUUUGCCAAAUUUCGUUCCUUACCUGUUUCAGCUAUUGCAGUUUCGCAAUCGUCACUCAUGACGUGAAAGAAUAGUGAUGAUUUUAUCACAAAUGAAAAAAUAAUUCACCGGAAAAUAGGUUAUUAAGUAAAUAUUGAGAACAAAGUUAAGUUUGUCCUACGAUUUGUUUGCUCGAGAAACAUUCACAAAAAUCUUUAGGCUAAAAUAUUAGUUAUAGUGUAAAGAUAAAAAAGAAGAGAAAUACUGAUAAUUACAACUGCUAAUACACAUUAAAAAUAAGAUGACAUUUCUAAUAUUUGAACUUCGCACAGACUCAAUGAUAUCGUUUUGAUCGUUCGAUAUUGAAAUUUUUGCUAAGCUCGUUGUCAGAUGUUUUCUAAUCGCAUCGAUAUUCAUUAUCACAGCUGAUUUAUAUCGCUAAAUACGUGUACUUUUGCACAUAUAUCAUUAUCAGAUAAUUCGUCAUUCAUAAUGUUAUGCGAAAUGGUGAAAUAGUUUUAAAAUAUGUAGAAAAUAAACCCAUUUAUUAAACUAGAAAUGAAUAUUUCAAUGUGUGCUAUUUCGACAAUAUAUACCUAGUUAUACUAAGUAAAAACGGAAGUGUAGACGCUUCAAAUUGCAAAAUUACGCGGCGAAA